rnacentral:rRNA from 1 species
GUAGUCAUAUGCUUGUCUCAAAGAGUGAGCCAGGCGAGUGGUGAGGGUGAGCACGUGGACGGCGAAACUGCGAAUGGCUCAUUAAAUCAGUUAUCGUAUAUUUGAUAGUACCUACUACAUGGAUAACCGUGGUAAUUCUAGAGCUAAUACAUGCUUAAAAUCCCGACUUCGGAAGGGAUGUAUUUAUUAGAUUAAAAACCAAUGCCCUUCGGGGCUCACUGGUGAUUCAUAAUAACUUCUCGAAUCGCAUGGCCUUGUGCCGGCGAUGGUUCAUUCAAAUUUCUGCCCUAUCAACUUUCGACGGCUGGGUCUUGGCCAGCCGUGGUUACAACGGGUAACGGAGGGUUAGGGCUUGACCCCGGAGAAGGAGCCUGAGAAACGGCUACUACAUCCAAGGAAGGCAGCAGGCGCGCAAAUUACCCAAUCCCGAUACGGGGAGGUAGUGACAAUAAAUACUGAUACAGGGCUCUUUUGGGUCUUGUAAUUGGAAUGAG